AUUAGGUCCGAGACCACCAUUGUCGUCCCUUGAUUUUCGUUGUUCACAAAUAUAGUCCCUAGUGUUGACAGUGGGCUACUUGCCAUUAAUUUUUAUACCCCUUCCAAAUUUAUUUCUCCAUGUUUAAUGCCUCAAAUUGCAAGUAGGGGGUGAAAUUACACUGUAAAAAAUUUGGGUCUAGAAUUUUAAAGGAAAGUAGUGAUUUGGUCCAGCUGAAAAAGAUUUAAAAUUAGCACUUCGGAAGCUGUCAAAAAAUUUCAAGACGCCCUAAACAUAAAAUUGUCCAUAUUUUGAGUUAGAGACGAUGAAGUUUUCUAUAAUUUUGAUAUAAUUUGUCCUAAAAGUAGAACAACACACUGUAAAAGUUUCUUUGAGAAAGCGCAGGUGGGAUUUUUUUUAUUUUCAUUUAUGUUCUAAAAGAAAUGCACUACGAAAUAAUUGUGGUCUCGGACCUGACGUCAUACUUUUUGAUACGAUGUUCAUAAGUGUGACGUGAAAGUUUAUUUUCUUGGUUUGCUGAUAAAACAAACAAAAGCAAUGUUUUAUAAUGUAAAACACAAAAAUACAAUCUGAUAGAUUAAUAAUUAGAUUUUCACCAUAUUGAUGUUGUAAGCUACAUAUACCUUUUGGGCAAGUGUGCGCUGC
rnacentral:lncRNA from 1 species